rnacentral:rRNA from 1 species
UACGAAGGGGGCUAGCGUUGCUCGGAAUCACUGGGCGUAAAGGGUGCGUAGGCGGGCCUUUAAGGCAGGGGUGAAAUCCUGGAGCUCAACUCCAGAACUGCCUUUGAUACUGAAGAUCUUGAGUUCGGGAGAGGUGAGUGGAACUGCGAGUGUAGAGGUGAAAUUCGUAGAUAUUCGCAAGAACACCAGUGGCGAAGGCGGCUCACUGGCCCGAUACUGACGCUGAGGUACGAAAGCGUGGGGAGCAAACAGG